CACUCUCCAAGAACUGACCAUUACCUUAUUAAGUGAUAUCAUCUCUCCAGCAGGGCCCUUUACUGGGAUCUGAAUGUAUGUCACCGCCAGGAAGCCAGUCUCGUCUACUCCAGCUCAAUACCUGUAUAUUUGAAGCCUGGAAAGAUUAAACAGAGGAUGGAGAUUCUGGUGGACUCUGGAAGCAUGAACAAAGACCCGAGCUACAUUAAGAACCACAAGUUUAAAAUACGUUUACUCUCUGAACUUCAAACUGAAGCCCUUUCUUCAAAAAAGGAAAAGGAUCAUAUGAAAAUAAUUUGUGUCCAUGACAGAAAUCAGUGAUUGAAAUAGCAAUUAAAUAGUGAUUUCUGGCCACCAUUUUGCCCAUUUCCAAAGAAACUAUAGCAAGUUUGAAUUCCCAAGAGAACUGGCGGGGGAGGAAGGAGAAGGCAGAGCUUCAAAUUACAUUAAUCAAUUAGAUUAAUAGGUGAGUUGCAGAUUUUUAGAUUGAAGACUUGGUUUUGGCGUUAUCCUCCCUCCACUAUCUUCAAUCUCUUCUCUAAUGACUCUUUACCAACUUGCCCAGCUUUUGCCCUUCCACUGAUUCUACUAUGCCCAUUCAAACUACUACUAUAGAUUUUAUUUCUAAAGCAAGGAAGGGAGACUACCAUAUGUGUGUCCAGCAUAGGAGCCCUGUAAAGUAUAGGUAUUUAAAGUUUUGGUAUCCUGGACCACGGGGGUAGUCUGGAAAGAAGCCUAGGGAUUCCUUCUCUGAAUGCUUUUGGAAUGAAUAAAAUACUGGAGUACAAAUCAUAUUAAAGUUAAAAAAAAUUAAAACAA